rnacentral:rRNA from 1 species
GACGAACGCUGGCGGCGUGCUUAACACAUGCAAGUCGAACGGAAAGGCCCUGCUUUUGUGGGGUGCUCGAGUGGCGAACGGGUGAGUAACACGUGAGUAACCUGCCCUUGACUUUGGGAUAACUUCAGGAAACUGGGGCUAAUACCGGAUAGGAGCUCCUGCUGCAUGGUGGGGGUUGGAAAGUUUCGGCGGUUGGGGAUGGACUCGCGGCUUAUCAGCUUGUUGGUGGGGUAGUGGCUUACCAAGGCUUUGACGGGUAGCCGGCCUGAGAGGGUGACCGGCCACAAGGGGACUGAGGUACGGCCCAGACGCCUACGGGAGGCAGCAGUGGGGAAUAUUGCACAAUGGGCGGAAGCCUGAUGCAGCAACGCCGCGUGCGGGAUAACGGCCUUCGGGUUGUAAACCGCUUUCGCCUGUGACGAAGCGUGAGUGACGGUAAUGGGUAAAGAAGCACCGGCUAACUACGUG